rnacentral:rRNA from 1 species
CAGUAGCCGCGGGAAUACGAAGGGGGCUAGCGUUGUUCGGAAUUACUGGGCGUAAAGGGCGCGUAGGCGGCGAUAAUAGUCAGAAGUGAAAGCCCCGGGCUCAACCUGGGAAUUGCUUUUGAUACUGUAUUGCUUGAGUUCGGGAGAGGUGAGUGGAAUUCCGAGUGUAGAGGUGAAAUUCGUAGAUAUUCGGAAGAACACCAGUGGCGGAGGCGGCUUACUGGCUCAUACUGGACGCUGAGGUGCGAAAGCGUGGGGAGCAAACAGGAUUAGAUACCCCGGUAGUCCCUGUCUCUUAUAA